CCGGAAACAGAAUUGAUUAGUUCACCUCUGGAGUCUUUGGUUCACUUCACAGCCCCACUGCCUUCAGAAUAUGGGGCAGUCACAUGAUGAACGAAUGCCUCGAACCUGAAGACUUGAGACGCGAACUAAUCAAAUGUAACGUGACAAAAGAAGAACGACUCGGAUCGGGAGGAGCUGAGUGCUUCCAGAGGCUGGGGGAGGUCCUUUGAGGCACCUUGGGCUUUACUUAAUUAAGGGUCGUUAUUAUUGCUGUGUUUUAUUUGCAGUGAAUUUUGUGGGUAUGAUUCUGAUUAGUGGGGUGCUUUUCCCUUUUGUACAGCUGGUGCUGUCGUGCUAGCCUGCCCUUCAUACAGGAAGCCUCAGUCCUCCUAUGAUUAUUGUUCAUUUUCUCUUGUGACUGCUUUAUUUGACCAACACCUGACUGUGUUGGCUGCUUUUUAAAAAAAU
ensembl:lncRNA